GACGAACGCUGGCGGCGUGCUUAACACAUGCAAGUCGAACGAAGAGCGAUGGAAGCUUGCUUCUAUCAAUCUUAGUGGCGAACGGGUGAGUAACGCGUAAUCAACCUGCCCUUCAGAGGGGGACAACAGUUGGAAACGACUGCUAAUACCGCAUACGAUCUAAUCUCGGCAUCGAGGAUAGAUGAAAGGUGGCCUCUACAUGUAAGCUAUCACUGAAGGAGGGGAUUGCGUCUGAUUAGCUAGUUGGAGGUGUAACGGCCCACCAAGGCGAUGAUCAGUAGCCGGUCUGAGAGGAUGAACGGCCACAUUGGGACUGAGACACGGCCCAGGCUCCUACGGGAGGCAGCAGUGGGGAAUCUUCCGCAAUGGACGAAAGUCUGACGGAGCAACGCCGCGUGAGUGAUGACGGCCUUCGGGUUGUAAAGCUCUGUUAAUCGGGACGAAAGGCCUUCUUGCGAAUAGUGAGAAGGAUUGACGGUACCGGAAGAGAAAGCCACGGCUAACUACGUG
rnacentral:rRNA from 1 species